GCGAACUUGCGAAGGAGUGUUCAAUGCCCGGUACUAUACCGAAGCCCCAUCCAGCCCUGUGCCACUCGGGGGGUUCCAAGGGGCUGAGAUGGCUGACGUUUUGGUGAGCGGAGGCAGAUUCCAGAAAUCAGCCCGCGGCACACGAAAACGGAGCUGUUUUGGGCUGUUUUGGGGCUGUUUUGCUCGGUUCGGUGAGCGAUUGCUUUGUAACGCUGCAGCUUAUUCGAAC
rnacentral:lncRNA from 1 species